UGUGCUUAAUUAUUUCAAGUUGUUUAAUUAUAAAGUAUACAAAUUUCAUAAUAUAUAUAGAGCAUUGGUACGUAAUUUUGAAGUUAUAAAGACAAUAUAAAUUUGAACUUGCAAUCUUGCUGUUUCAAUUAUGCCAUCCAAGUGAAUGAGUGAUGCUCUUUUUGGUUGCAGCAGAUAAGCACUUUGCGUAGUUUCUGUAUAAACCCUGAUGGGAUUUUUUAUAUGCACUGAUAGUGAAACAUCCCUGUCACUGAUAAUUCUUUAUAAAGUUUUCUUUUCUUGGUUGCAGCAGUUUACUAACAAGUUUCCAGUAAUAGAGUGAGUGGAGAGAAAUCAAGCAAAUGGAGGAAGUGUUAUCCAUCAUCAACUCAUCAACAAUACGCAAAAAGUUUUUUUUUUUUCCCUUUCAACAGACUAAAGCGAGAAUAAAAGGAGGAAGUCUCUUUUGGAAAAGAUGAUUUGCCAGGGGUGUCGCGGUUGGAUGUGAGUCGAGAGAAACCAAUCCCACUGUGGUGUUGCCCAACAUGGACAAUCCUGAAGAGGCGGUAAUUUGCAAUUGGUUGUUAGGUGCUGCUGAUGGAAACUUGGAGGAUAUAUUGUUUGAUGUUAGUGGUAGGUCUGCGUGGUGGGAAGACUUGUUGUUGUUGGUUCCUGACUUCCUGGGUCGUUGGUUUCUGUUGCUGCUGUAGAUGCGUGGGUUUGUCUCUUAAAUAAACAAGAGCGGUUUAAGGACUCGUCUGCCCAUUCCCGGUGUUUUUUUUUUUUUUUUUCUUUGUAUCCACUCUCACCACGCUUAAUACUGUCAUGGAUACCUCUCAAGAUUUGAUAAGCAGAUUGCUUGGUUUGUGGACAGACCGGUGGAGGACUUUGAGAUGACGCCAUACGAUGACAUUAGUAAAUUUGGCGCUCUAUUUGGAUCUGGGUAUAAAUGCGUUCGCUGCUCGUGUGCAUACUGGUGUUGAUAUGUGUGCACGCAUAUUUAAAUACCAUUCAUCUUCCGUACUAAUAUUCGUCAUACCAUUUAGACGCUAAUGUGUGCUCACUAGUGUAUGUGUGUAUGCUCCUUAAUAACUCCGUAUCCUUUUCUAUUACAAGUAUUAUUAUUCUAGAGUUAUGGUAAAUG